rnacentral:rRNA from 1 species
CUACUCUUGACAUCCUGCGAACUUGGUAGAGAUACCUUGGUGCCUUCGGGAACGCAGAGACAGGUGCUGCAUGGCUGUCGUCAGCUCGUGUUGUGAAAUGUUGGGUUAAGUCCCGUAACGAGCGCAACCCUUGUCCUUAGUUGCCAUCAUUUAGUUGGGGACUCUAAGGAGACUGCCGGUGACAAACCGGAGGAAGGCGGGGACGACGUCAAGUCAUCAUGGCCCUUACGAGUAGGGCUACACACGUGCUACAAUGGCAAGUACAGAGGGCCGCGAAGCCGCGAGGUGGAGCUAAUCUCACAAAGCUUGUCGUAGUCCGGAUUGGAGUCUGCAACUCGACUCCAUGAAGUCGGAAUCGAUAAAAGGGCAAAUCAGAAUGUUGCGGUGAAUACGUUCCC